GAGUAACACGUGGGUAACCUGCCUGUAAGACUGGGAUAACUCCGGGAAACCGGGGCUAAUACCGGAUGGUUGUUUGAACCGCAUGGUUCAAACAUAAAAGGUGGCUUCGGCUACCACUUACAGAUGGACCCGCGGCGCAUUAGCUAGUUGGUGAGGUAACGGCUCACCAAGGCAACGAUGCGUAGCCGACCUGAGAGGGUGAUCGGCCACACUGGGACUGAGACACGGCCCAGACUCCUACGGGAGGCAGCAGUAGGGAAUCUUCCGCAAUGGACGAAAGUCUGACGGAGCAACGCCGCGUGAGUGAUGAAGGUUUUCGGAUCGUAAAGCUCUGUUGUUAGGGAAGAACAAGUACCGUUCGAAUAGGGCGGUACCUUGACGGUACCUAACCAGAAAGCCACGGCUAACUACGUGCCAGCAGCCGCGGUAAUACGUAGGUGGCAAGCGUUGUCCGGAAUUAUUGGGCGUAAAGGGCUCGCAGGCGGUUUCUUAAGUCUGAUGUGAAAGCCCCCGGCUCAACCGGGGAGGGUCAUUGGAAACUGGGGAACUUGAGUGCAGAAGAGGAGAGUGGAAUUCCACGUGUAGCGGUGAAAUGCGUAGAGAUGUGGAGGAACACCAGUGGCGAAGGCGACUCUCUGGUCUGUAACUGACGCUGAGGAGCGAAAGCGUGGGGAGCGAACAGGAUUAGAUACCCUGGUAGUCCACGCCGUAAACGAUGAGUGCUAAGUGUUAGGGGGUUUCCGCCCCUUAGUGCUGCAGCUAACGCAUUAAGCACUCCGCCUGGGGAGUACGGUCGCAAGACUGAAACUCAAAGGAAUUGACGGGGGCCCGCACAAGCGGUGAGCAUGUGGUUUAAUUCGAAGCAACGCGAAGAA
rnacentral:rRNA from 2 species